rnacentral:lncRNA from 1 species
UCUUUAGGCAAUGGACCUGUAAAGCUGUUGCUGUAGGCAUUGAAGACUCUCAAAAACUUGAGCUUGGAAAUCCCAGGUGGGAAUUCUGAAUUGAAGUUGUUGUGGCUGAUGUCAAGAAUCCUGAGGUCACUUAGUUCAAAUAUGAGAGGUGAAAGAAGCCCAUCAAAUGCAUUCCCACUCAAAUUGAGGUGAACUAAUCUGGUUAAGUAUCUAAUUUCAGCUGGAAUAAGACCAGAAAGAUUGCGGUGGGAGAGAUCAAGUGAUGUGAUUUGAGAAGUUGUUGGGUUGCACUUGACGCCAGACCAUGAACACCAAACUGGGUCUUGGAUUGAAGCCU